rnacentral:misc_RNA from 1 species
AAUUCUAUCCAUUUCAUUAUUUCUCACUCUAAAAUUUAUUACUGACUCAGACUCCAAAUUAAUUUCUAAGGUAUAGAUCCCAGUACACUCAGAUAUAUAUCCUGUUAGAUCUGCUAGCAUUUUAGCUUUAUAUAAUAAACUCUGACAGCCUAAGAACAAUGUUGACAUCUUGGGCUCUAUGAUGAUACUGUUGAAGACCCAAGAACAAUAAAAAUGUUGGUCAUACACAAUGCACAAAGCAGCGCCCAAAGGGCAAAUAAGCUGGCAUCCACCUAGAGGAGCAAAUGCUGACAACAUGCAAUGACCGUUUAAUGAUGCUAAUGCGAAUGCUGAUGAUGAUGCUUAUGCUGAUGCAAAUGCACAUGUUGCUGGCAUCACUCUAGGAGAGCAAUUAAAAAUAAACUUAUCAUAUGCAUGUGUAGAGCUACCCCCAAAGGGCGAAUCACCUGAUAUACUCCCCAAAGGCUAUGUGUAUAUCAA